rnacentral:rRNA from 1 species
UACGUAGGGGGCAAGCGUUGUCCGGAUUUAUUGGGCGUAAAGAGCUUGUAGGCGGCCAUGUAGGUCCGUUGUGAAAACUCGAGGCUCAACCUCGAGACGCCGAUGGAAACCAUGUGGCUAGAGUCCGGAAGAGGAGAGUGGAAUUCCUGGUGUAGCGGUGAAAUGCGCAGAUAUCAGGAAGAACACCCGUGGCUAAGGCGGCUCUCUAGUACGGUACUGACGCUGAGACGCGAAAGCGUGGGGAGCGAACAGG